CGGCCGGGGGCGGCCGCGGGUCCCUCAGGUAAACGGAGCCAGCGAGGCCCCCCAGCGCGCGCCUCGGAGCGCCCGCGCGCUCUCGCGACGGCCGGGCGCGCGCGCACCACGGACGGCGCAGGCGCGCCGCGCACGCUCGGCCGAGCGCUCCGAGUCUGAGCCCAGCUUGAGGCGUGAGGUGUGAGUAGACUGUAAUCUCCAUUCUAGUCAAGACUUGUCUUUAUGCCUGUAAUACAGACCUGGUAAGUCUUCAGUGAAGUUGUGCAACGGUGACAGUGUGAAGAAUGGCUUUGAAGAUGGGACAGGAGGUAUAGUUUUUCUUACAGAAGAAUAUCCAGUUAUUUCAUGAUGGCCUUUGCACCUCCAAAAACACAAAUGGUCCCAAAAUGCAGACAAAAAUGAGUACCUGGACACCCCUAAACCAUCAGCUUUUGAAUGACUGG
ensembl:lncRNA